AAGGAUUUAAGUUAAACAAACUAUUAACCUUCAAAGUUAAAAUUACUAAAAAAGUAAGCCUUA
rnacentral:tRNA from 1 species